AAGUUAGCCUACUCUUAAUAAUUACGGGAGUUGACAGCUAACAUGUCAUAAUAGUUACAUCCUGUAGAUGGCACUCUGUACCAACAGUGAUAAAUAAACUAUUGUCCUUGUGUGGGGCCAAAGAAAGUGAAUUGAAAAGCACCAUUAUCAUUCCCAGGAGGAACCAUCAUCUCCUCUCUGAAAGGGACAGUGAUGAAGACAGCAUGAAGAGCGAUCUAUUGGUGAUUUACCAUAAGGUCUUGGGGUCGUCCAGCAAACUCCACAGAUUGAGUGACCAGUGCUUCCUUCAUUGCCUGCAGACUGU